CAAGACCAAGCCUGGACAACCCUUGCAGAGUGACCCUGAAGAAGACAAGCCCUGCUCCAGUCACACCCGGAAGCUGACUGGUCCACGCAUAGCCGAAGCAUGAGGAAGUUCACUGUGGAACUCAUUUUUUUAAAUUUUGGACUUGUACAGUAAGGACUUCAACUGACCUUCUUCAGACUGAGGUGUCGAUUUUGCUUGAGAAUAUUGAAGGUCUUGACAGAAGUUGUGGAUUUCAGUUUUAACAAAUGUGUUUUAAGUGGAAGAGCAUUUUCCUGGUCUUGUCCCUCCAAUUUGAGAAUUAGAAAUGCCAUGUUUAUGAUUAUUCAGCUGUAUUUGUUGCUAACUUGUAAAGCAAUACAAACAUUUUUUGGUCUGUUUGACUGAAUUUGUCCCACAACUCAUUGUUGCUCUGUUCAUUUUUUUCCAGGUUUCUUUUUUCUUUCUGUGUUUCAUUUUGGAUAGUUUUUAUUGCUAUGCUAUGUUUUCAAUUUGUCUUUUUAUUUUUGGCAGCAUCCUGUCUGGUAUUUAACUAAUUCAGUGAAAUUUUCAAUCUCAGACAUUUUAAAAAACCUUUAGAACUAAGUUCAAAUUGAGUCUUUAAAAAUACGUUUAUGCUUUCCUCUACUUUCUUGAACAUAUAAAAUAUAGUUAUAAUAGCA
rnacentral:lncRNA from 1 species